CCUACGGGGGGCAGCAGUAGGGAAUAUUGCUCAAUGGGGGAAACCCUGAAGCAGCAACGCCGCGUGGAGGAUGAAGGUUGUCGGAGUGUACACUCCUUUUGUUAGAGAAGAUAAUGACGGUAUCUAAAGAAUAAGCAACGGCUAACUACGUGCAAGCAGCCGAGGGAAUACGGAGGGUGCAAGCGUUACUCGGAAUCACUGGGCGUAAAGAGCGCGGAGGCGGGAUAGCAAGGCAGAUGUGAAUUCCUAUGGCUUAACCAUAGAACUGCAUUUGAAACUGUUAUUCUAGAGUAUGGGAGAGGUAGGUGGAAUUCUUGGUGUCGGGGUAAAAUCCGUAGAGAUCAAGAGGAAUACUCAUUGCGAAGGCGACCUGCUAGAACAUAACUGACGCUGAUGCGCGAAAGCGUGGGGAGCAAACAGGAUUAGAUACCCGAGUAGUC
rnacentral:rRNA from 1 species